UAAACAAAACCAAAAAGUGAGUGGACAGCAGUCGCCCCUCUCCACAAAAGAAAGGCAGAAAGCCAUUACCUAGAUGACAUCACAAGAACUGAGAUGACCAGACAGCUUAAUGUAUUUAUUAUUACUUAAAAGAGUUAUCAAGCACAUAUUUGCAAAUCCAAGCCCCCAAGAUGAAAAGAAAACACCAGGCAAGCCAAGCAAUCUCAACAAGUUAUAAUCGUCAGAGAUAGACCCAUACACACGAACAGU